UACGUAGGGGGCAAGCGUUGUCCGGAUUUAUUGGGCGUAAAGAGCGUGUAGGCGGCUAGAUAGGUCCGUUGUGAAAACUCGAGGCUCAACCUCGAGACGCCGAUGGAAACCAUCUAGCUAGGACGGUCGGAAGAGGAGAAUGGAAUUCCUGGUGUAGCGGUGAAAUGCGCAGAUAUCAGGAAGAACACCCGUGGCUAAGGCGGUUCUCUAGUACGGUACUGACGCUGAGACGCGAAAGCGUGGGGAGCGAACAGG
rnacentral:rRNA from 1 species